CAAUCCCAAGCUUUCGACUUUCGAGUUUUAAUGGCUGUCAUGUUGCAGAUGAUCAUGGGAGAUCAAGAUCACUAUAGACUUACUCCCUCCCAUCUCAAGAAGUGACUCGUUAAAUCAAAUGACAUUCAAGGUACAAAUAGUUAGCAAACUUUGUUCGGAGAUCAUAUAAAGACUCAAAUUCAUUAGUUGUAUUGCAGUUGUUUGAUCCAGUUGAUCAUCAAGAGUUGAUCAGUAACCCGGAGUUCUUGAGGCUCCAAAAGAGGCUAGGGUUGUCUCACGAACAUAAGCAGAUGCGGAACAGGACUGAUACGAGAUAUCUUUACCAGAGCUUCCUAUCUACAGUUUGAUGAAUAAUCCUACAUCUUAUAUCCACCUAUCUACUUUACUCUACCAGUCAGCUUUUUAACAAGAAUCUACGGUGAUCUAGAGGGAUCUCACGGUGAUCUACAGUACACAGCUAGUCUGGAGAACCUCCCAGGCGGAAAGAAUCUGAGGACGACCGUACGUUCAUUUCUAUACCACGUACCACUGUUGCUCUUGAGGGAUUGUUUCCAGAUCAAUUCCAGAAGGUGAAUAUUAUCCCUGACUUCAAUAAAUUAUUCUAAAACGAAUAAGAUUGUUCUAAACCUGACUUUAAACCGAUUCAGGAGUAUCCUGAUCUAUGUGCGUUCAUCCUACGGAAUAAGGAAGAAUUGCAGUCCGCAGUGUUCACAGGACACAUUUAAAAGGAGAAGUUACACUGUACAUGGAGAACUUGAAACCUGAUAAACACUAAUUGAAGACAUUUGGAUCAGCGUGUGAGAAAACCAAACCGCCAUCAAAUCUUCACAGCUAGAUGAUCAAGAAAUAAAUUCUAAAACUAUA